UCGAGAAUCUUUCACAAUGGGGGCAACCCUGAUGGAGCGACGCCGCGUGGAGGAUAAGGUCUUCGGAUUGUAAACUCCUGUCAUGCGUGAACAAGGUUGCCGGGUUAAUAACCUGGCAAAUUGAUGGUAACGCAAGAGGAAGAGACGGCUAACUCUGUGCCAGCAGCCGCGGUAAUACAGAGGUCUCAAGCGUUGUUCGGAAUCACUGGGCGUAAAGGGUGCGUAGGUGGCGUGGUAAGUCAGAUGUGAAAGCCCGGGGCUCAACCUCGGAACUGCAUCCGAUACUACCAUGCUAGAGUACUGAAGAGGUGACUAGAAUUCUCGGUGUAGCAGUGAAAUGCGUAGAUAUCGAGAGGAAUACCAAAGGCGAAGGCAGGUCACUGGGCAGUUACUGACACUGAGGCACGAAGGCUAGGGGAGCAAACG
rnacentral:rRNA from 1 species